rnacentral:rRNA from 1 species
CUCAACUGAGGAAAGUGUGUCGAAACUGGUAGGCUAGAGGAGAGUAGAGGGAGGUGGAACUCUCGGAGUAGCGGUGGAAUGCGUAGAGACCGAGAGGUAUCUCGAUGGCGAAGGCAGCCUCCUGGGCUCUUCCUGACGCUGAAGCGCUAAGGCCAGGGGAGCGAAGGGGAUUAGAUACCCCCGUAGUCCUGGCUGCAAACGAUGUGGGCUUGGUAUCGGGCCGUUAGAGGUUCGUUGCCGGAGUUAACGCGUUAAGCCCACCGCCUGGGUAUUACGUCCGCAAGGAUGAAACUCAAGGGAAUUGACGGGGGCCCACACAACCGGUGGAGCACGUGGUUUAAUUCGAUGAUAAGCGAAGAACCUUACCAGGGCUUGACCUAGCGGUGGUAGGACCCCGAAAGGGGAACGACCCGACACUUUGUGUCGGGAGCC